rnacentral:rRNA from 1 species
AGUCGUACGCUUCUUUUUCCACCGGAGCUUGCUCCACCGGAAAAAGAGGAGUGGCGAACGGGUGAGUAACACGUGGGUAACCUGCCCAUCAGAAGGGGAUAACACUUGGAAACAGGUGCUAAUACCGUAUAACAAUCGAAACCGCAUGGUUUUGAUUUGAAAGGCGCUUUCGGGUGUCGCUGAUGGAUGGACCCGCGGUGCAUUAGCUAGUUGGUGAGGUAACGGCUCACCAAGGCCACGAUGCAUAGCCGACCUGAGAGGGUGAUCGGCCACAUUGGGACUGAGACACGGCCCAAACUCCUACGGGAGGCAGCAGUAGGGAAUCUUCGGCAAUGGACGAAAGUCUGACCGAGCAACGCCGCGUGAGUGAAGAAGGUUUUCGGAUCGUAAAACUCUGUUGUUAGAGAAGAACAAGGAUGAGAGUAACUGUUCAUCCCUUGACGGUAUCUAACCAGAAAGCCACGGCUAACUACGUGCCAGCAGCCGCGGUAAUACGUAGGUGGCAAGCGUUGUCCGGAUUUAUUGGGCGUAAAGCGAGCGCAGGCGGUUUCUUAAGUCUGAUGUGAAAGCCCCCGGCUCAACCGGGGAGGGUCAUUGGAAACUGGGAGACUUGAGUGCAGAAGAGGAGAGUGGAAUUCCAUGUGUAGCGGUGAAAUGCGUAGAUAUAUGGAGGAACACCAGUGGCGAA